GACGAACCGCACGAACGUUAUUCGGAAUCACUGGGCUUAAAGGGUGCGUAGGCGGCGCGACAAGUUGGGUGUGAAAUCCCUCGGCUCAACCGAGGAACUGCGCCCAAAACUGUCGUGCUCGAGGGAGACAGAGGUGAGCGGAACUUAGGGUGGAGCGGUGAAAUGCGUUGAUAUCCUAAGGAACACCGGUGGCGAAAGCGGCUCACUGGGUCUCUGCUGACGCUGAGGCACGAAAGCUAGGGUAGCGAACGGG
rnacentral:rRNA from 1 species